rnacentral:rRNA from 1 species
AUUGAACGCUGGCGGCAGGCCUAACACAUGCAAGUCGAGCGGAUGAAGGGAGCUUGCUCCUGGAUUCAGCGGCGGACGGGUGAGUAAUGCCUAGGAAUCUGCCUGGUAGUGGGGGAUAACGUCCGGAAACGGGCGCUAAUACCGCAUACGACCUGAGGGAGAAAGUGGGGGAUCUUCGGACCUCACGCUAUCAGAUGAGCCUAGGUCGGAUUAGCUAGUUGGUGGGGUAAAGGCCUACCAAGGCGACGAUCCGUAACUGGUCUGAGAGGAUGAUCAGUCACACUGGAACUGAGACACGGUCCAGACUCCUACGGGAGGCAGCAGAGGGGAAUAUUGGACAAUGGGCGAAAGCCUGAUCCAGCCAUGCCGCGUGUGUGAAGAAGGUCUUCGGAUUGUAAAGCACUUUAAGUUGGGAGGAAGGGCAGUAAGUUAAUACCUUGCUGUUUUGACGUUACCAACAGAAUAAGCACCGGCUAACUUCGUG